rnacentral:rRNA from 1 species
AGCGAACGCUGGCGGCAGGCUUAACACAUGCAAGUCGAGCGGGCAUCUUCGGAUGUCAGCGGCAGACGGGUGAGUAACACGUGGGAACGUACCCUUCGGUUCGGAACAACUCUGGGAAACUGGAGCUAAUACCGGAUACGCCCUUAUGGGGAAAGGUUUACUGCCGAAGGAUCGGCCCGCGUCUGAUUAGCUAGUUGGUGGGGUAACGGCCUACCUAGGCGACGAUCAGUAGCUGGUCUGAGAGGAUGAUCAGCCACACUGGGACUGAGACACGGCCCAGACUCCUACGGGAGGCAGCAGUGGGGAAUAUUGGACAAUGGGCGCAAGCCUGAUCCAGCCAUGCCGCGUGAGUGAUGAAGGCCUUAGGGUUGUAAAGCUCUUUUGUCCGGGACGAUAAUGACGGUACCGGAAGAAUAAGCCCCGGCUAACUUCGUG